rnacentral:tRNA from 1 species
GUAAGAAUAAUUUAAUCAAAAUAUUAGUCUGUGAACCUAAAAAUAGGAAUUAUAUAUUCCUUUCUUACC